GAUGAAGAACGUAGCGAAAUGCGAUAAGUAAUGUGAAUUGCAGAAUUCAGUGAAUCAUCGAAUCUUUGAACGCACAUUGCGCCCAUUAGCAUUCUAGUGGGCAUGCCUGUUCGAGCGUCAUUUCAACCCUUAAGCCCUGUUGCUUAGCGUUGGGAGCCUACAGUACUGUAGCUCCCCAAAGUCAGUGGCGGAGUCGGUUUCACACUCUAGACGUAGUAAUUUUUUCUCGUCUGUAGUUGAGCCGGUCCCCUGCCGUAAAACACCCAAUUUAUCAAGGUUGACCUCGGAUCAGGUAGGAAUACCCGCUGAACUUAAGCAUAUCAAUAAGCGGAGGA
rnacentral:misc_RNA from 1 species